UACGAAGGGUGCAAGCGUUAAUCGGAAUUACUGGGCGUAAAGGGUGCGUAGGCGGUUCGUUAAGUCUGUCGUGAAAUCCCCGGGCUCAACCUGGGAAUGGCGAUGGAUACUGGCGAGCUAGAGUGUGUCAGAGGAUGGUGGAAUUCCCGGUGUAGCGGUGAAAUGCGUAGAGAUCGGGAGGAACAUCAGUGGCGAAGGCGGCCAUCUGGGACAACACUGACGCUGAAGCCCGAAAGCGUGGGGAGCAAACAGG
rnacentral:rRNA from 1 species